AAACCAACAGGGAUUGCCUUAGUAGCGGCGAGUGAAGCGGCAAAAGCUCAAAUUUGACAUCUGGCACUUUCAGUGUCCGAGUUGUAAUUUGAAGAAGGUAUCUUUGGGUCUGGCUCUUGUCUAUGUUUCUUGGAACAGAACGUCACAGAGGGUGAGAAUCCCGUGCGAUGAGAUGUCCCAGACCUAUGUAAAGUUCCUUCGAAGAGUCGAGUUGUUUGGGAAUGCAGCUCUAAGUGGGUGGUAAAUUCCAUCUAAAGCUAAAUAUUGGCGAGAGACCGAUAGCGAACAAGUACAGUGAUGGAAAGAUGAAAAGAACUUUGAAAAGAGAGUGAAAAAGUACGUGAAAUUGUUGAAAGGGAAGGGCUUGAGAUCAGACUUGGUAUUUUGUAUGUUACUCUCUCGGGGGUGGCCUCUACAGUUUACCGGGCCAGCAUCAGUUUGAGCGGUAGGAUAAGUGCCAAGAAAUGUGGCACUGCUUCGGUAGUGUGUUAUAGUCUUUGUCGAUACUGCCAGCUUAGACUGAGGACUGCGGCUUCGGCCUAGGAUGUUGGCAUAAUGAUCUUAAGUCGCCCGUCUUG
rnacentral:rRNA from 1 species